UCCUUUUUUGUCUUUUAGAUCCUUUGAACUCUUUCAAGCUAUGUUUCAAGACUUUCUGGGCUUUGACGGGGCUGGGCAUUCACUGUAAAAGCAGUCAAUGCCUCAGUGAGACCACAAGCAAAACUCUACAUCCCCUCAUGACCACCUGUGUACCUCAGAUGCAGUGAUGAAGAUGAGACAAAAUGGAUUUGGUCAUCUUGGGUCACCCAGUGUGCUUUCAGCAGAGGCAAAGAGGAUAUUGUUGCCAUCAAUUACCUCUUCACUGACUUCAGUUAGACUGUAGAGAAAUUUACUUUGAUGCAUGACAAUCAAGCGCUGUCUGU
rnacentral:lncRNA from 1 species